AUUAAUUCGAUGCAAACCGGACCGUAAAAAACCUUAACCUACCCUUGACAUGUCCGGAAUCCCGAAGAGAUUUGGGAGUGCUCGCAAGAGAGCCGGAACACAGGUGCUGCAUGGCUGUCGUCAGCUCGUGUCGUGAGAUGUUGGGUUAAGUCCCGCAACGAGCGCAACCCUUGUCAUUAGUUGCCAUCAUUUGGUUGGGCACUCUAAUGAGACUGCCGGUGACAAACCGGAGGAAGGUGGGGAUGACGUCAAGUCCUCAUGGCCCUUAUGGGUAGGGCUUCACACGUCAUACAAUGGUCGGUACAGAGGGUUGCCAACCCGCGAGGGGGAGCUAAUCCCACAAAGCCGAUCGUAGUCCGGAUCGCAGUCUGCAACUCGACUGCGUGAAGUCGGAAUCGCUAGUAAUCGUGGAUCAGCAUGUCACGGUGAAUACGUUCCCGGGUCUU
rnacentral:rRNA from 1 species